rnacentral:piRNA from 1 species
UAGCUUUGUCUCCCCACCUCCCAACU